UGGGGAAUUUUCCGCAAUGGGCGAAAGCCUGACGGAGCAAUACCGCGUGAGGGAUGAAGGCCUUUGGGUUGUAAACCUCUUUUAUCAAGGAGGAAGUUCUGACGUGUACUUGAUGAAUAAGCAUCGGCUAACUCCGUGCCAGCAGCCGCGGUAAGACGGAGGAUGCAAGUGUUAUCCGGAAUCACUGGGCGUAAAGCGUCUGUAGGUGGUUUCAAAAGUCCACUGUUAAAAAUUGAAGCUUAACUUCAAAGAUGCCGUGGAAACUUUGAAACUUGAGUAUGAUAGGGGUAGAGGGAAUUUCCAGUGGAGCGGUGAAAUGCGUAGAUAUUGGAAAGACCACCAAUGGCGAAGGCACUCUACUGGGCCAUUACUGACACUGAGAGACGAAAGCUAGGGGAGCAAAU
rnacentral:rRNA from 1 species